AGCAGUAGGGAAUCUUCCACAAUGGGCGCAAGCCUGAUGGAGCAACACCGCGUGAGUGAAGAAGGUUUUCGGAUCGUAAAGCUCUGUUGUUGGUGAAGAAGGAUAGAGGUAGUAACUGGCCCCUAUUUGACGGUAAUCAACCAGAAAGUCACGGCUAACUACGUGCCAGCAGCCGCGGUAAUACGUAGGUGGCAAGCGUUGUCCGGAUUUAUUGGGCGUAAAGCGAGUGCAGGCGGUUCAAUAAGUCUGAUGUGAAAGCCUUCGGCUCAACCGGAGAAUUGCAUCAGAAACUGUUGAACUUGAGUGCAGAAGAGGAGAGUGGAACUCCAUGUGUAGCGGUGGAAU
rnacentral:rRNA from 1 species